UGAGGAGCGAAGCCAUGGGUAGCGAACAGGAUUAGAUACCCUGGUAGUCCAUGCCGUAAACGGUGGGCGCUAGGUGUGAGGGUCUUUUCACGACUUUCGUGCCGUAGCUAACGCAUUAAGCGCCCCGCCUGGGGAGUACGGCCGCAAGGCUAAAACUCAAAGGAAUUGACGGGGGCCCGCACAAGCGGCGGAGCAUGUGGAUUAAUUCGAUGCAACGCGAAGAACCUUACCUGGGCUUGACAUACACCGGAUCGGGCUAGAGAUAGUCUUUCCCUUUGUGGCUGGUGUACAGGUGGUGCAUGGUUGUCGUCAGCUCGUGUCGUGAGAUGUUGGGUUAAGUCCCGCAACGAGCGCAACCCUUGUCUUAUGUUGCCAGCAUUUGGUUGGGGACUCAUGAGAGACUGCCGGGGUCAACUCGGAGGAAGGUGGGGAUGACGUCAAAUCAUCAUGCCCCUUAUGUCCAGGGCUUCACACAUGCUACAAUGGUCGGUACAACGCGCAGCGACACUGUGAGGUGGAGCGAAUCGCUGAAAGCCGGCCUUAGUUCGGAUUGGGGUCUGCAACUCGACCCCAUGAAGUCGGAGUCGCUAGUAAUCGCAGAUCAGCAAUGCUGC
rnacentral:rRNA from 1 species